AACGAACGCUGGCGGCAUGCCUAACACAUGCAAGUCGAACGAGACCUUCGGGUCUAGUGGCGCACGGGUGCGUAACGCGUGGGAACCUGCCCUUAGGUUCGGAAUAACUCCCCGAAAGGGGUGCUAAUACCGGAUAAUGUCUUCGGACCAAAGAUUUAUCGCCUUUGGAUGGGCCCGCGUUGGAUUAGCUAGUUGGUAGGGUAAAAGCCUACCAAGGCGACGAUCCAUAGCUGGUCUGAGAGGAUGAACAGCCACACUGGGACUGAGACACGGCCGAGACGCCGAAGGGAGGAAGCAGUGGGGAAGAGUGGACAAUGGGAGAAAGCGUGAUGCAGCCAUGCCGCGUGCGUGAAGAAGGUCUUCGGAUUGUAAAGCAAUGUAAGGUGGGAGGAAGGGCAGUAAGUUAAUACCUUGCUGUUUUGACGUUACCAACAGAAUAAGCACCGGCUAACUUCGUG
rnacentral:rRNA from 1 species